rnacentral:rRNA from 1 species
AGAGUUUGAUCCUGGCUCAGGAUGAACGCUAGCGGCAGGCUUAAUACAUGCAAGUCGUGGGGCAGCGCAGUGUAGCAAUACAUGGGCGGCGACCGGCAAACGGGUGCGUAACACGUUCGCAACCUUCCCGUUACUGGUGAAUAGCCCAGGGAAACUUGGAUUAAUACACCAUAUUAUAUUGACUAGGCAUCUGGUUGAUAUCAAAGCUCCGGCGGUAACGGAUGGGCGUGCGGUUGAUUAGGUAGUUGGCGGGGUAACGGCCCACCAAGCCUACGAUCAAUAGCUGAUGUGAGAGCAUGAUCAGCCACACGGGCACUGAGACACGGGCCCGACUCCUACGGGAGGCAGCAGUAAGGAAUAUUGGGCAAUGGACGCAAGUCUGACCCAGCCAUGCCGCGUGGAGGAUGAAGGUCCUCUGGAUUGUAAACUUCUUUUUUCUGGGGCGAAAACCGGUCAUUCUUGACCAUUUGACAGUACCAGAAGAAUAAGCACCGGCUAACUCCGUGCCAGCCGCCGCGGUAAUUC